UGUUAAGCCCAAACGACAAGCUUCAGCAACGUUUGUACGCAUUCCUGUGAAAACCGGGAGCUAGCAGGCGAGGGGACUCGGGAUCACAGCCGUCUUUGGUUGGAUCUUGGAAGUUGCCUGAACUUAAGGCGGUGACCACCGUGUGAAUCCGUCUCCAUCCAUAUAGAAACAAUGUGAAGUUUCCUUUGUUUUAUUACAGGCGGGUUAUCGCACUCGGUUUUUCUGGAAAAGAGAUUUCUGCUGACUAGGGGUUGGGGAGGCGGGGCAUAGCGCUCGGUCCCGCCCACGUAACGGUGCCCCCGCGGCUUUGGGAACUCGCGCACGCGCCGUGGCACCAUGCGGCCAGCUCCGCCACUCAGGGCGGGGCCGCGGGGCGUGCGCGUGGGUGUGACGUCACUGCAUGCGCCGCAUCCUGUGGUUUGGCUGCGAUGGCGGCAACUGCGGAGACGUCGGAGGAGGACCCACUACGGAGCUUUGUGCGAGUUUUGGAGAAGCGGGAUGGCACGGUGCUACGCCUGCAGCAGUAUAGCUCCGGUGGCGUGGGUUGCGUUGUCUGGGACGCAGCUAUUGUCCUUUCUAAAUACCUGGAAACACCCGGGUUUUCUGGCGACGGGACGCACCUGCUGAGCCGGCGGUCGGUCCUGGAACUGGGCUCAGGCACCGGAGCCGUGGGACUCAUGGCCGCCACCCUAGGGGCACAUGUUGUAGUCACCGAUCUUGAGGAACUGCAGGACCUGCUGAAGAUGAAUAUUGACAUGAACAAGCAUCUUGUCACUGGUUCUGUUCAAGCCAAGGUACUGAAAUGGGGGGAAGAAAUAGAAGACUUUCCUUCGCCACCAGACUACAUACUGAUGGCCGACUGCAUAUACUAUGAAGAGUCUUUGGAGCCAUUGCUGAAAACCCUAAAAGAUCUCAGUGGAUAUGAGACUUGUAUUAUAUGUUGUUAUGAACAACGAACAAUGGGGAAAAAUCCAGAAAUCGAGAAAAAAUACUUUGAGCUCCUUCAAUUAGACUUUGACUUUGAAAAAAUUCCUUUGGAAAAACAUGAUGAAGAGUAUCGAAGUGAAGAUAUUCAUAUUAUAUACAUAAGAAAGAAAAAAUCGCCAGCCUAGUUGGUGUGAAACAGUGUCUCAUUGCGGUUUUUAUUUUUAUUUCCCUGGCAAUGAGCGAUGAAAUGUCCAUCAUGAAGCUUUUAGCUAUCUUACCCAACCCUUUGACGACCUGGGUAAGCUCAAGAUGUGAAUGGAGCAUGUGAAUUCAGCAUGGGACGAUUGUGUUCACAGAUUUUUUUCCAGCAUGUCUUUAGACAUCCAGUAUAUAGAGGACAACUACCACAAUCUGUGUACAAUACAAAAAAUACCUGCCUGCCCACUGACGGGCCUGAAAUCCAACUGAGGUUUUACUUAGCAUCAGAUUCUGCAUAUAAGAAACACUGGGAAUCAGUUACUCAAAAAUUAGGAUUGGGAUUAGUCUAAAGUCUGCAAAAAAUAAAUAAUGAAGUAGCAUGGUUGACUCAACUUAGUUUCAGAAAACUAAAGAGAACAUUGAUUCAAUUUCAAAGAGAGUUGUCUAUUACAAUAUAAUGUUUUAAAAUUCAGACCAGAAAAUUUUAGUUAUCUUCAAGACAGAUAAAUUUUCAAGUUGCUUCAUUUCUUCUAAGUUAUUUUUUGUACUCAAAUGUUCUUUUACUUUAAAAAAAAUGGGAAUGUUGUCUUGUACACUUACAUUGGCCAAAUUUUUCUUAUUUUCCUCUUCUGAGUAUGUGUAUAUGGUUUAAAUAAUAAAUUGGACUGUGCUGUGCUGCUGAGAAGACAGAUGGAGGGGACAACAAAAGGAUCUUUACAAAGUUUUCCAUUUGUGAAUGGAAUGAGAAUGUAAAGCCUGUUUUCAGGCUUGUGGACUUGAGUGUCUCAUGUACUUUUCUCUUAGGUUUGUCUUACAAGAAAAUAUGGCAAGAAAAAAAAACACUGGUGUUAACUUGCUUACAUGAAACAGGUUUUUUAAUAAUUACAAAUGUUGUUCUGGAUACGCUUCCCAAAUCAUUUUUAUUCUGUCCAUAUCACUUUUGCAUUAUGAUAAUCAUCUGCUCUCACAGGCUCAUCUGUCAAGGACUUGAAUUGCCAGUUCCAAAAAGUAGUAGCCAAACUGAAUUCUGGUAUGCACAGGCAUUGGUGCUAGAUGGCACAUUUUAUGUGUUAAAAUAAACACUGUUUUUGAGA